UACGGAGGAUGCGAGCGUUAUCCGGAUUUAUUGGGUUUAAAGGGUGCGCAGGCGGUUGCUUAGGUCUGAUGUGAAAGCCUUCGGCUUAACCGAAGAAGUGCAUCGGAAACCGGGCAACUUGAGUGCAGAAGAGGACAGUGGAACUCCAUGUGUAGCGGUGGAAUGCGUAGAUAUAUGGAAGAACACCAGUGGCGAAGGCGGCUGUCUGGUCUGUUACUGACGCUGAGGCACGAAAGCGUGGGGAGCAAAUAGG
rnacentral:rRNA from 1 species